CUCCAGCAGAGUGGUUUGUGUGAGUGAUCCCUCAUCCACUUCAGGCAAAAUCACCCAGGUUGAUUCUGAAAAUGCACAGCUAAUUUUUAAGGUUGUCUUCCAGAUGUGAUAGAAACAGGGAAAAUAACAUUUAGCAACAGUUACAUCUUCAGCUGUUGAAAGAUAAUGCCUGCUGUCUCUCAUCUCUUUUGAUGCACCUCUGAACAACCUGCCUCUCUUGCCUUGGUGACAUCCUCAUAAAUACUAAGGGAAUGCUGUUAUAUUCUUCAGAAGUUGUCUCCUCUCCAGAUACCUCAGCCUCUCCUCACAGGGCAAGUGCUCUAUAUCUGGACCAGCUCUGCUAAAAUCACCCCAGUCUACCAGCAGCUUUCUUCUAUUAGGGGGGGCAACAUUGUACAUGGGACUCUAAAUGUG